rnacentral:rRNA from 1 species
AAAGCCUGAUGCAGCUAUGCCGCGUGUAUGAAGAAGGCCUUAGGGUUGUAAAGUACUUUCAACAAGAAAGAAAAGAUAAAAUCUAAUAUAUUUUAUCAUUGACGUUACUUGUAAAAGAAGCACCGGCUAACUCCGUGCCAGCAGCCGCGGUAAUACGGAGGGUGCAAGCGUUAAUCGGAAUUACUGGGCGUAAAGAGCACGUAGGCUGUUAGUUAAGUCAGAUGUGAAAUCCCUAAGCUUAACUUAGGAACUGCAUUUGAAACUAAUUAACUUGAGUUUCGUAGAGGGGGGUAGAAUUCCAGGUGUAGCGGUGAAAUGCGUAGAUAUCUGGAGGAAUACCAGUGGCGAAGGCGACCCCCUGGACGAAUACUGACGCUCAGGUGCGAAAGCAUGGGGAGCAAACAGGAUUAGAUACCCUGGUAGUCCAUGCCGUAAACAAUGUCGACUUGAAGGUUGUAAGCUUGACUUAUAGCUUUCGUAGCUAACGCGUUAAGUCGACCGCCUGGGGAGUACGACCGCAAGGUUAAAACUCAAAUGAAUUGACGGGGGCCCGCACAAGCGGUGGAGCAUGUGGUUUAAUUCGAUGCAACGCGAAAAACCUUACCUGGUCUUGACAUCCAUGGAAUUUAAUAGAGAUAUUUUAGUGCCUUCGGGAACCAUGAGACAGGUGCUGCAUGGCUGUCGUCAGCUCGUGUUGUGAAAUGUUGGGUUAAGUCCCGCAACGAGCGCAACCCUUAUCCUUUGUUGCCAUCAGCUAGGCUGGGAACUCAAAGGAGACUGCCGGUGAUAAACCGGAGGAAGGUGAGGACGACGUCAAGUCAUCAUGGCCCUUACGACCAGGGCUACACACGUGCUACAAUGGUAUAUACAAAGGGAAGCAUCCUCGCAAGAGUAAGCGAAUCUAACAAAAUAUAUCUUAGUUCGGAUUGGAGUCUGCAACUCGACUCCAUGAAGUCGGAAUCGCUAGUAAUCGUAGAUCAGAAUGCUACGGUGAAUACGUUCCCGGGCCUUGUACACACCGCCCGUCACACCAUGGAAGUGGGUUGUAAAAGAAGUAAGUUGCUUAACCUUUUUUUAGGAGGG